rnacentral:lncRNA from 1 species
GCAGAAUUAUUUUCUCUCCUCCCCCCCCCCCCAAUUCUGUUAUCUUUUCAGUUAGAUUCAAGCAGGGAUUCAGAAUUGGUAAGUUGACUGAAGCUUUUAACAGACCAAUCACUCUCUUUAAUACUGGAAACAGGGAUUUAUUUUAAAGGAAAGAAGGGUAAGGGAAUUUAGAUGGGAGAGAGGGAAUUUAGGAUUUCCCUAAUCUAUUAUAUAUUAUAUGCUAAGUAAGUAUGACUGAAUAGUCUUUAGUAGAUAUUGAUAGUAUUUUGAAAUCUUCAGAGCUAUAACCUAAAUCUUCCAAGGAAAAGGCAAUAACCAAACAGGUAGAGAAAAUUCUCUCUGGUACCUUCUACCUCAGGUCCAAGAAAAGUAGUGACUCAGUUUCUGAGCCAACUUAUUCAAACUGCCUCUCCUAGGCCACAUUCUUCUCUGGAAUUUUCCUUGAUGGACACAUCUUCAAGCUUCCAUUCUUUGCAUCUGCUUUGCAAGUUUUUCUGUAGCAAUAAUUCCUUACAGAACUGAAAAGGUGGGAUUCGGAGUGACCUAUAGCUCUAUGUAGGAUGCUAACACAAUGGAAAUUGGCUCAUCCUACUUUAUAGAAGUCAUCCAUUGAAGGCAAGCUGUAUUGAGAAGAGGGGAGAGACUGAUAUAUGCAGACCAAUGAGGAAGAUCUUACAAUCCAGCUUCUCUACAUGAUGGAUAUAGUUCAUUCUCAUUUUAUAUGUGAGGAAUUCAAGGAACCAGCAGGUU